AGCCUGUUUAACAAAAACACCGCCUGUUGAAUAUAUACCAGGUCCAUCCUGCCCAGUGAAAUUUUUUUAACGGCCGCGGUAUUAUGACCGUGCAAAGGUAGCAUAAUCAUUUGCCUUUUAAUUGAAGGCUAGUAUGAAAGGACACACAAGAAUAAAACUGUCUCGUUCAGGAACAUAUAAACUAAUUAUUAGGUGCAGAAGCCUAAAUAAACAUAAAGGACAAGAAGACCCUAUAGAGCUUUACUGACAAAAGUUAUCACACUCUACCCUCAGUUUGGUUGGGACAACCAAAAGACAUAAUUACCUCUUCACCGCCCUACUCUCCACCCUCACCCAUCAAUGAACUAGAACUAAGCUACCUUAGGGAUAACAGGCUAAUCCUACUAAAGAGACCACAUUGACAGUAGGGGUUGGCACCUCGAUGUUGGCUUAGUGUUAACCAUCAGGCGCAGCCGCUUGAUAGAGUUGGUUUGUUCAACCAUUAAACCACUACAUGAGCUGAGUUCAGACCGG
rnacentral:rRNA from 1 species